CACAUUGUAUUGUGGCAGUCAUUGUGAGAAGCCAAAGAUUUCGCGCUUUGAUGAAUUUAUAAAAACUAAACUAAACCAAUUUGUAUUUGCAUCUUCAACAAUUCUUAUCUCUGUGUCGUCUGGUAUUGCUCUGAAGUCGAUCUGCAGAAGAUCGCAAAAUCUGAAGGCCUCAACCUGGCCAUUACCACGUUUGGUAAUUAUUAUAUCAAUGUGUGGAUUAUAAACUGUGGAUUAUUAACUGUGGAUUAUUAACUGUGGAUUAUUACAAGCACGGCUCAACUCAAGUAAAAGGAAGACGUCAUAAGAAUAGUAUCGAAUGAAGAACAAGAAGCGUUGACGUGAUGGAGAUCAGUCAACACUUGCAUAUUUACUUGAACUUUGUAAUAGCUAAAGUUUGAA